UACAGAGGUCUCAAGCGUUGUUCGGAUUCACUGGGCGUAAAGGGUGCGUAGGCGGUCGGGUAAGUCUGAUGUGAAAUCUCACAGCUUAACUGUGAAACUGCAUUGGAUACUAUCCGGCUCGAGGAAUGGAGGGGAGACUGGAAUACUUGGUGUAGCAGUGAAAUGCGUAGAUAUCAAGUGGAACACCAGUGGCGAAGGCGAGUCUCUGGACAUUUCCUGACGCUGAGGCACGAAAGCCAGGGGAGCAAACGGGG
rnacentral:rRNA from 1 species